rfam:Brachypodium distachyon strain Bd21 chromosome 2, whole genome shotgun sequence.
UUUUUACUCCCUCCGUCAAACAAAAAGUGUUUCAAAUUUGUCAAAAUUUGGAUGUAUCUAGACAUGAUUUAGUGUAUGGAUGCAUUUAAAUUUAGUCAAAGUUGAGACAUCCUUUGUUGGACAGAGAGAGUACUAG